GAGCCGGUGGCUUCCAUGUCGCACCAGCCGCCGAUGGAGCAGAGGAAGGCCGACCAUCCAGAUGAGGACGAGGAGGUUGCGAUGGAGGUUGCCCCCCUGCUCCACGCGGAGAUGCAGAAGGUUCA
rnacentral:ribozyme from 1 species